AGUGAACGCUGGCGGCAGGCCUAAUACAUGCAAGUCGAACGGCAGCACAGCAGAGCUUGCUCUGUGGGUGGCGAGUGGCGGACGGGUGAGGAAUACAUGGGAAUCUGCCCAGUCGUGGGGGAUAACGUAUGGAAACGUACGCUAAUACCGCAUGCGCCCUACGGGGGAAAGCCGGGGACCGCAAGGCCUGGCGCGAUUGGAUGAGCCCAUGUUCGAUUAGCUAGUUGGCGGGGUAAAGGCCCACCAAGGCGACGAUCGAUAGCUGGUCUGAGAGGAUGAUCAGCCACACUGGAACUGAGACACGGUCCAGACUCCUACGGGAGGCAGCAGUAGGGAAUAUUGGACAAUGGGGGCAACCCUGAUCCAGCCAUGCCGCGUGAGUGAAGAAGGCCCUCGGGUUGUAAAGCUCUUUUGUCCGGAAAGAAAGCAAUCGGUUAAUACCCGGUUGUUCUGACGGUACCGGAAGAAUAAGCACCGGCUAACUUCGUGCCAGC
rnacentral:rRNA from 1 species